CAACUGCACGUGUUUCUUUAAGGAAACAAUAUGUUUGAGUUAUCUGAUUUAAAACAUCUUUGCAAUUUUCAUAGAUAUCUAAAUUUUUUUUUAAUCUGUUUUGCUGACAAACCAAAAUUCUGGGUGAAGUAGUGUGCAGGCUUGCAGAAAAAUCUGCUCGCAUAUGCUUGAGUUUCUUGCAAAACUAUUUCAGUAUAUUUAUUCUUCACCUUUUCCCCUUUCCAAAACAUAUUGAACUUUUGAUUUUGGCCAAGGCAUGUGGAAUUUAUGAUGGUUUAGUGCUGUCCUAUUUCACGGAAAUCAACAAAUUGAAAAUUGUUUUUAUUGAAAAUACGUAAUUUUAAUAGACAUAAGAGUAUUACAGUGAAAUUUAGAGAAUCUAUUGGUUAUUAUUACCCCUCCAUCAAUUUUUAGAAGGGAUAUAUACUUGGGAGAUAGAAAUUGAAGAUGUUAAACCCCCAUCUCUUAUAUCCGGUAGUAACGAGUGGAUUGGAGAAUUACAUUUAGAAUUGGAAUUGUUUUCUUGGUUAACUACCUAGUAAAUACUUUUAUCUUGGGACAGAUUAUUUGAGCUACUACCAGUAUAGGCUUGUCUACUACAUAAUGCAUUAUCCAUCUUUUAUAAUUUAAUGAUAUUGUAGUGAGAUGAUUGGCACACUCUAUGCUUUAAACAUUAAUGACAUUGAUUAUAUGCAUGGGUGUGUUACUUGAUCCCACAAUAUGUUUAUCAAUAGGCGUGUGCAUUACAUAUACAUUACAUGAGCAUAUAGGUAUGCUAUCUUAAUAGUGAUUCACAUAAUGGAUUAAAUUCCUUCAUGCAUGUGACCACACCUUGCUAGACCAUUUGUAAUGGGUCGGGCUUCUCCAGUGGAGUAGCACAGGGAAGCUUAUUGCUUUGUGGCAGGGUGGAUAUCACCUUGAUGAUUCUCUCUCUCUCUCUCUCUGGUUAUGAAGGAUGAAAAUGGAAGGUGUUCAGUGAUGCAAGUGUUAAUGAAAUUACUAUCUUGUGACCUGCUGAUUGACAUAGUAUAUAACUCUUAUAAAUUGUUAUUCUGCUCUUGCAAAUUCUGAGUGUGUCAUCAUGAAGUGUGUUGCAGUACUUAUAAUAUAAAAUGUAUUUUAAAAUUAUGUCAAAUAUAGUAAAUGCACUCGUGGGAAGGGAACAGAGGAGGGUUUGUAAUGCAAGUGUUAGUACAUUUUCUCAUCAUACGAGCUACUGAUUAAUAUACUAGAAGAUUCUUAUAGAUUACUUACCAUUCUCUUGCAGAUUUGGGUGUAAUUCAUGAUGAUAUAUGUGAGCACUUGUAACAUAAAAAUAUUUGUUUCUUAUAGUUAUGCUAAGUGUGGCAAAAUAGAAUUGUACGAAUUGUAAUGUUUAGAGAAUUGUUUUAUGAAUGUUUUUGAAAAGAUAUAAAAAAUUAGCCAGUAAAUAAUUUCUUUGAAUUUGGAUUACAUAUGCCUUACUCAAUAAUUACCAUAGGUUUUUAGUGAUUAUGGGGUGGAUGUUACAUGAAGUUACAAUCCAUCGGAAUGUAGUAUGCUUAUACAUAAGAUUUACUCUUAAAAAGCCAAAAUAAACUCGCUGUUGUAGAUUUUUUUCCAUUCAUGUUUACAUGAUCAAACUAUGAUAAUUGAUUUGGAUGAGUUAUUAACUUUCGUUCAACUAUAUCACAAUAAAUUAUUAGUUUGCCAUGUGGAAAAACUCUGUUGUCAAUCCAUAGAGCUUUACUAGAAGAAUCUAUCAAGCUCAUUGGUUGAAGAUCUUUAUUACAUGGUGGUUUUGGCUAACUUUUGUACCCCUGGUUGAUAAUGACUAGAAAAAAUUAACACAUUUUUUUAACUGUUUGUCUUGUGUAUCACACUCCCUUGGAAAGAUCAUGGAAAUAAUUCUGCUCUAAUAAAUUUUUUUUUUUUUUUUCCGUUGAACACUAUUAUGGAUUAUAAAUUUUAUACCAUCUUUUAAUGAUAUGCUUUCUUGUCAUUUUAUUAUGAGAAACAAAGAAGCCUUCAAAAGAGGAGCUUGUAACGGUUGUUUUUGUGUUGCUGGAGUUAGCUCAUUUAUUAUAAGUGGGCAUUUGAUUGGAUUUUGGUAGAAGGGAUUACACUUUUUCCACCAAAUGCCAUGGGAGGUUAGCAAUCUUUGUAUAUGACUGCAUUUUUGUAUAGCCAAGAAAGUGGAAAAUAGAAGAUAUAACAAAACUGUGAUGAAGUGGGAAUAUCUACAUAGCCAUAUUAAAUUAUGUUAUAGAUUUCUUUUUUUUUUGAUGUUAUCAUAUUGGAUGCUAUAAGGUACCCUAUUAAGAUGCAAAUCCAAUAUGUAAGAUAGAGAUAGAAGCAUAAGUGUGUUAGCAAAAGUACCCUAUACAAUAAGAUUUUGUGCCUUUAUGGGCAUGGAUCAAAUACAGUAGAGAGGUACUUGAGCCAUAUCAGAAGAGCCAUAUAUCUAUUUGUUUUUUUUAUUCACUCAGGGUAUCCCCGCGACUCAGCCCAGCGACACUACUUUCCCAUUAUGGGGCGAGCUGAGGCGAGGCUAAUUCCUGGAGAUGAGCUAAGCAGCCCAUCAGCCAAGCCCAUCAGUUGAAUCCAAGCCUCAGAGUCGAACCCGAGACCAAUGGGGAGCAAACCCAUGGUCCAAGCCAACUCUGCUACCUGUCCGGGCUGAAGAGGCAUAUAUCUAUUACUGUAGCACAUGGAACCAAUUUCUAUUGAAACCUAAUUUCAGAGGGCUUCUUUUGUGUUUCUAGAGUUAGCUCAGUUAGAAGUGUGCUUUUGAUUGAUUUUUGGUAGAAUGGAUUACAUUCUUUUCACCAAAUGCCACUGGAUAGUGAUUUUUGUAUGCAGCUGCAAAUCUAUGUUUUACUCAGACCCUUAGUCCUGUCAACUACCAGGGAUCUGAAAUUUUGUCCUUUUAUAAAGCUUCCACAUCAAUGUACUCCUUGCCUAUCUACUAGCAGAGAUCUGAAACUUUGUGAACUUUAGUCCUUUUAUGAGAAAUGAAUACAUUAAUAGUUAAUUUUAAUAAAAAAAAUUGCAAUUAAAUAUAUUGGCCAAGGACAUUGGAGUUAAUUGUAAACCUAAUGUCUUUCUUAAAGAAGUUGAAAAGGAUAGUUUAGCAUAGUGCUGGCUUUUGUUAUAAGGAGUUUAAGUACUUGUAAAUGCAGUUGUUGUUUCUUUUUAUUUUUAGCUAGGAAUUAAGUUAUAAUUUAAUAAAAGUAAAGGUAGUUUUCCAAAUAUGGGUGAAUGGUUUUGUUCUACGUUGCAUGGACAUGGACAUGAGGUAUGUAUAUGGAAAUGAGAAUCAUAUUUAUAAUAUGUAUUUAACAAACUCUAUGUAACACAAGUUUAUAAGCUAUUGGAGAAGAUUUUCAUUACUUUAGAAGCAAUUGCUUCUACUGCGUUGGAUAACUUCAGAGUAGAAGCUAAAAAAAUGGUGGUAUCCCUUGUUGAUAUGGAACGGGCAUUUGUUCCCCCUCAACACUUCAUUUUUUUUUAAAGAAGAUAGGCAACGCAGGGAAGAAGAGAUGAAAAAUCGAGCUUCCAAAAAAGGCCAUGAUGCAGAGCAAUCUUUGCUUAAUAGGACAACAAGUCCUCAACCUGGUAGCCAACAAACAGGUGGAACCUUAAAAUCAAUGAAAGAUAAGUCCAAUCAGGCAGAUAAAGAUAAGAAGGAAACAUCUGUAUUGCAAACUGCUGGUCCUGAUGGAGAGCUUACAACAGGAUAUUUGCUGAAGAAAAGUGCAAUUUAAACAAAUGGUUGGAGUUGGCGGUGGUUUGUCCUGAAUGAGAAAUCUGGAAAGCUUGGUUACACCAGAAAGCCAGAAGAAAGGCAUUUUUAGAGGAGUCAUUAAUUUUUUGGAAUGUAUUAUCGAGGAGGUAACAGAAGAUGGUACUUCUGAUUCUCCAGCUCCAGCCAAAUCAAGUUCUAAAGACUCAAAGAAGGCAAAUGGUGCUCAUGCUGUAGCUGUAAGUCUGGCAUUCAAAAUCACCAACAAGGUUUUAUACAAAACAGUACUAAAAGGUCAAAUCAGUAACCUUAUUUGAUAAUAUUUUAGUUUUUGAUGACCCUGAAUAUGGAAAGAAGUUAGCAGAGGAGAUAUGGGGCAAAAAACAAAGAUGUUUUCUAUGAGGCAUUGACUGGACAUAGAGUAAGCUGGAAAAAAACCCUUCAAUUUCUAAAUCAACGAUAUUCAGAAUCAAAGUAGACAAGCAAGAAUGAUUGUCAACCCUACAUUCUACUUAUAGAUGAGCUUGAUCUUCUUGUCACAAGAAAUCAAUUGGUAAUUCUAUACUUCGCUGGGUUUUUUUUAAUUGUAGAUAUGGAGAAACCAGCUAGAAAUAGAGAAUGAAUGAGAAGCUUUCUAUUUUUAAACCCAUAACUCUGCAAGUUACAUCAAUUGUAUUUUUGUUUCCAUGUGGACUAUUUUUUGUAUAUGACAUAGAAUAACCAAAUUCUAAAAUAUCUAUUUCUCCUUUUUAGGUUUUAUACAAUAUAUUUGAUUGGCUGACUAGAGCUCAUUCUUAGUUUUUGAAUAAGGGAAAACAGGUUUUGAUGGACCCCUGAAACCCAUUACAACCAAAAGAUCAAAAGAUAUACAUUAAAGCGCAUCAAAACGCAAAAGAUAACAACUUAGAAAAAGACAACUGACAAUAAAAAAAACCAACAAACUAGAAACAGCUAACAAAAACAAACAGGAUCGAGAGAGGGAGCCCAAAGUUAGGUUAAGUUCUGAAGCAUCUCAGCUACUUCCAGCUCCAAUUGUUCCUCAAUUUUCUUUCUUUGGCUUUGCAUCUUUCUGGUGCUCGCACACGUUCUUUUACCAACCCCAUUCUCCUUAUCCUUAGGGGUAUCUUCCUUCGCUUCAAUGAAGCCCACCGAAGCCUUAUCCCCAUGGUCAUUCUCAAGCUUAUUGAUAAGAGCCUUCAUACUAGCUGAGGCGGCAUUAAGGAUCUUAUGACUUUGCUCACCAAUCUUUUUGAGCGUGUUCUCGACUCCUUCAAGUCUUUUUUCAGUAGCCCCUGCUCUGUUCUCCAAGUUAAGAAAGCUAUUCCAAUUAGCAUUGAUGAUCUCCUCUGCAUUACUAAUAGCUUUGGUGAGCUCACUGAGACAAUCUAAGAGUUGAAUUUACCCGAGCCUAUAGCUUUUAAAGUCUCAAUUUUUCUGGCUUCCUGGGCUUGCUUGGUGUUAAUGCCAAAAAUUUCCUUUUGCAUCCAAUGGAGCACCUUGUUGAAGCUAUUUGUGUCGUUAUUGAUGCAGCGAUCUAUAUCCAGGUGUUGAUCUUCUUGGGUCUUGUCUCCAACAGGCUCUAAAUUCACCUCAAGACCCACCUCCCCGACAUCAGAGCUAUGAGCUUCUUUCAUGGCCGUGUCCUCCCCCAUCAGACCCUUAUCCUUAGAGUCAGUUGUGAGAGGUGAUCGAUUCUUGGUUCCCACGUCCUUAAUUUUAGGAGUUUUCCUUUUCUGCUUCUGGCUCGAGAGGAUUUGGACCUCCUCGCUCUAGGUAUCCAUGUCGUUAUUAGUCUCAUUAUCCUCUUCGUACCAGCUAUCCUCAUCCUCCCCUCUCUGCUUCCUUUUGGCCGACCCUUUAUUCUGUAGCUCAUGCCUUAUUUUUCUUUUUUUUUCUAGCUCGACCCAGCAAUUUGGGGGUCAUCUUUUGCCUCAGCUUCCAUGUCAUAGCCAUUGUCUUCCUCAUCAUCCGAGUCGUCGAGAUCCUCUUCCAACUGAGAAACCUCAGCUAUGUUAAGAUGGAUGGUAGUGUUCUUGAUUUGAUUAUACAGAAUCACCAUCAAACCCUUAUGUAUUGUUGGAUUGGUAUUGGGGUUGGAUAUUGCAUCCUUGAUCCCAGCAUUUAGGGCACAGAAAAGAUAAUAUGGAAUGAAAAUUUUCUCUUUAUACCGAAAGUGGUUUAGAAUGACAAAAUGAUAGCUAUAAACCCUAGUAAAUCUACCAUCAAGAGUGAGAAAUUCCAUAAUAGAAAGCAAAACCCUUCGCCAAAUUAGCUUAAUUACUUUUGGUGAGUAGUAGGUAUGGCUGCCCUUAACCAAUCUAGCUUUCUCCUUCUCAUCCUUUAGAAAUUUCUUUACGACAACAUUUGAAAUCUUCCUAUCCCUAUAGAACUUGAUGUCAUCCAUCGGAAGACCCGUAGCCUCAGCGGUCAUAGUUUCAGUCACCUUGACCUUCCUAAUGCCUAUGGUCAAUGUACCUUUAUUCCAACUCUUCUUGAAAAUUCUCGUAAUUUCGGGUCGUUUCUCUUGCAUUCUCUCCAUGAAAUUAGUCAUCUUGGCAGCUUGGAGUACUGCCCAAACUUGAGGACGGUUCCUCCAUUUUUCAAUAGUGAUAGCUUUCAUUCUCUUGCGGUUUCCCCCCAUAAUGCUAUUGAUGUCUAUCAAUUAUCAAUUCCUGCAAAUACCUUUCUUCGCAAUGAACUUCCUGUGAGAAACCAUUAGAAGUCUGUGGAAAUUUCUAAUACUUCUAUUCGAUAGGGAAAAAAGCACCCAUAAAGCAUGCAAAGUGAUCCUGCAAUUAUUACUGUACCUCCUUCUCGUUUGCAUACAAAACUGACUCCUGUUGCCACGACCACCGCUAUCACCUCGAGGAAUGAUUUCAAAUCCAGCCUUGCUUACCAUGAAAUCUUUCAUAAGUUAAGAUAUCACGUGCCGCACAAGGGAGCUCCCCCUCGCAAUUCCAAAUCAUGAUUUGCUCUCUUCGUAGUGCCUCAUUGGCAGCUCAGUCAACACACCUAUUGGCCUCUCUAUAAACAUGGGAAAUGUGGCAUUUAUCAAACCCCUGAAGAAACUCCUUGUCAGAAUCUAUGAUGUUUUUAAUUGUCCACGAGGGUUAGUGUUUACCAAGGAGGCAAUUAAUAAUGUUUUUAGAGUCUCCUUCCAACCAUAACAUUUUGACACCCAAAUUAUAGGCUAAUUUAAUAGUUUGGAGGGCGCCCAUGGCUUCCGCUAGAUGAUUAGUCUAAAUCCCCAAGGGAUAGGCAACCACCCCAGUACAAAAGCCAACACCAUUCCGGAUAACUCCACCACAACCAGCAGGUCCAGGGUUCCCUUUAGCAGCACCAUCAAACUUGGCCUUAAACCAAUCAUUAGGGGGAAAAGACCAACACCACAUACUUCUUUUGAUUUGGUUGAUGUUGGUGCCCAUGUGGGCUAGGAUAUUCCAGCACUUGAGAACAUCAAAGUCCUCUCUAUUAUUACAACAAUGCUCACCCCUAGCCAUCACAUUCUCAACACAAUUAUAUUUUAUCUUGGCCCACACUACUUCAGAGGUAUUAAUAUCAUUUCUGAAUAUUCUGUUAUUCCUCUCUUUCCAUAUACCCCAAAGGAUAUGAGCAAAGGAAAACUUCCAUAGAUUUCUAAUGGUGGGGUUAUUGGUAGUAUAGUGCGAGCUUCUGAAACAGUCUUGAAUGUCCUCUGGGAAAACCCAAUUCAACCCCCAAAUUUGAAAAAACAUCCCCCAGAUAGGAAGGACAAAAGGACAGUGUAUAAACAUAUGGUUCACAGAUUCCUCAUUAUUAAGACAAAGAUAGCAUCUGUUAGGGAUACAAAAGCCCCUCUUUCUCAAAUUAUUAGUAGUUAGAAUCUUAUUUUGCAAAAGAAUCCAUAAAAAGAUAUUGAUUUUAGGAGUCAAACCUAGAAACCAUGCCUUAGCCUAGCAAGGAGUAGGGUCUUGGGAUUGAGCCAACAAAAAGACAACGGAUGAGACCUAAUAAGUCCCUGAAGAGGUCCCGCUCCACACCAUGUGGUCUUCCCUUCUGGUAUUUAAGAUAGCAUGGUUGAUCACUAAGUUUUCUUGCUUUAGGUUGGGAUCAGUUGAGUCGAGGUCCACCCACUUUUGAUCUUUUCAGUAUUCAACCUAGCACCGAAUUUCUCCUUAUAAUUCUGGAUGAGCAUCUGAGAGGCACCCUUAUUAAGAGGGGCUCCUCCAAUCCGAGCAUCAUCCCAAAAAUACACUUUCCUGCCAUCACCUAUGGCCCAUACAUUGCCUAAACUAACAACACCUUUAGCCUGGAUAACGCUUUUCCAAAUGAAAGAGCCACUUGGUAUCUGAUCAGAUACAAGGAAAUUUUCAAUGGUGGGAACCUCCCGUAAGUACUUAGCCUUCCAAAUAUCAUUCCAUUCUCCUUUUCCUUGAUAGGUUCUACAUAUUUGUUUGGCAAGAAGAGUUAUGUUCAAGGUUUUGAUGUUCCUUAAACCCAGACCCCCCUUCUUUUGGGGUUUACACACAUUAUCCCAGGCAAUUAGAGUCAUUCUCUUCUUCUCCUCAACCCCAGACCAAAGGAAGGCUUUCUAAAUUUUCUCAAUAGCUUCAACAACUUUUCCAAGGAUUUUGAAGAGGCUUAAAGCAUACACCGGAAGACUCUAGAGAGAAGAUUUUAAAAGUUGGAUUUUCCAGCUUGACUAGGAAGGGUACCUUUCCACCCAGCCAACUUUCUACUGAAUCUAUCCAUAAGACUAUCCCAGAACAGCUCCGAAGGUUUCAUACUCAAAGGGAGACCAAGGUAGAUAGAAGGAGGCUUACCAAUUUGGCGCCCAAGGAUCUGGGCCAUCCUCAUCUAUUUGUCCUCCAGGGUGUUGAAGAAGAAAAUGGAGCUUUUCUCCUAGUUGAUAGUUUGACCCGAGGUUGAACUAUAAGUAUUGAGAAGGUUCUUCAAAUUGGACACUUCUUUGAUAGAUGAAGUACCCAUUAAGAUGGUAUCAUCUACAAAUUGUUGAUGGGUACAGGCUCUAAAACGAGAAGAGGGGGAGAUACCACAAAGAAGCCCUAGAGAAACAUAUUUGCUAUUAAAUCUACCCAGACAUUCAGCCAUAAUGAUGAAGAGAAUAGGGGAUAUGGGAUCCCCUUGCCUGAUGCCUCUAGAAGUUUUGAAGAAGGGGGAAGGCACACCAUUCACAAUAACAGAGAAAGAAGGGGUCGAGAUGAGUUGAUCAAUCAUCUGAAUAAACCUAGCACCAAAGUCGAAAGCACCAAGCACCUUACCCAAUAAGCUCCAGUCAACACGGUCAUAGGCUUUUUAUAGAUCCAACUUCAUUAGAAAGCUUUGUUUUUUCGAAUCCACCAACGAGUGAAUGUUUUCAUGGAUAUCAAUGAUAGAGUCAAGGAUUUGUCUGCCAGGAACAAAUCCAAUCUGUUGGGGCAAAAUGAUCAAAGGAAGAUUCCUUAGCAGUCUACCAGUCACCACCUUAGAGAUGAUUUUAUAGAAACAGUUGCAUAAGCUUAUAGGACGAAAUUUAUCCAUAGAGUCAGCCACCGAGCAUGUGGGGAUCAGAACCAAGAAAGUAGCAUCGAGUUCCUUUAAGAUAAUUCUAGCCCCAAAAAACUCCUGCACACCUUUAACCACAUAAGUUUUGAGGAUGUCCCAAAAGGCUUGAAAGAAGAACAACGGAAAUCCAUCCGAGCUCGGGGCUUUAUUACCAUCAAAAGAAAAAACCUAUUUUCUAACUUCCUCCUCAGAAGGGAUGGCCACCAAAGCCUUGUUCUGAACCUCAUUAAUGAUUGAAGGAAUGUUCUCUAGGAGGGCACUCUGGGAGUGACCAUUCAGACCACUAUCCGCGAAGAGAAGGGAGAUGAAAAAGUUUUUGGCUUCCUUCCCAAUCUCAUCGUCUUUCCUCGUUUCAAUUCCCCCAAUUCUCAGCUUAGAGAUUCUAUUUGCAGCCUUGUGUUUCAUAGCAGUCAUAUGGAAGAAUCCGGUGUUUAUGUCCUCAGAUUUAAGCCAUAGAGAUCUAGACCUUUGUUUCCAUAAUUCUUCUUCUCUUCUGAUAACCUUAUGGUACUUCACAAGCACUUCAUUUUCCUCCCUAAUUGAUACUUCAUUGUAUCCACUAGUUUAGAUUUUAUCCUGCAUUUCAUUGAGUUCUAGUUAGGUUUUGGACUUGGCAGCAAAUAGAUCCCCAAAAAUCUCCUUGUUCCAUUUUUUAAUAUUGUCUUUCACGUUCCUUAAUUUUUUAGCCAUUCUAUACAUAGCAGUACCUUUGACAUCAAUAGACCACCACAUCUCAAUGACCUUCUCAAGGUUAGGGUGGUCCAACCACAUCCUUUCAAAUCUAAACGGGAAGUUUCUUUUAACAAUUGUAUCAACAACAAAAACCAUAGGGAAGUGGUCAGAACCAAUCCUAGAGAUGGUCGAUAGGGAGCAGUGAUAAUGGUUAAACCACUCAUUAGAAAUAAGGGCCCUAUCAAGUCUGGCUUGAAUAAGAUCUUCCCCCGUCCUCUUGUUCGUGUCACGGAGAGGGGUGUUGAAAUCCCUCGUAACAAUCCACAUAUCCUCCUUAUAAAGAACCCGAAUGGCUUCCAGCUUCUUCCAGAAUUUACUUCUGCCUAGUCUAUUAUUAGGGGCCUAAAUAUUGGUAAGGAGUGAAGAGGUGUCAUCCCCUAUGUGCUGAAACCUGAUAAAAGCCAAAUUGCUAUCCUUCUUGACAGGCUCCCUAGAAACUCGCCUUAGAUUCCAGAAAAUGGCAAUGCCCCUAGAAGCACCAUUAGAGCUACCACCAAAAACUUCCCCAUCCUUAAAAAUCUUUAUCUUUUCUACUUUAUCUUGUGUCAUUUUAGUUUCUUGGAUAAUAACAAUGUCUGGUUUAUGUUCUCUGACUAAAUUUCUUAGAACAUCCUGUUUAUGUGGACUAUUCAAUCCACGAAUAUUCCAUGAAAUCAUUUUCAUUUUCUAACUAGGGAACAUACCUCAUGGAUGGUCAAUUGAGUACCAUCCGCUAUAUUCUUGCUUGCCUCUUGAUCUCUGAUCUCUCUUGCUUUUUUCCUCCCAGGAGGAGAGGGGUUAAAACCCGUGUCGGCUUUGGUCCGGUUUCUUGUCUUGACUGAAUUAGCCCGAGGGGUAUAUUUUGGCCCUUUUUUUCCCCCUCUUUCGAUCCGCUAGUUCACUUGUCUGGGAAUCUUCCUCCUGAGUAUUCUGGGUGGUUCUUCUGGUCAACAUCUUCAACCUUAGCCCACUUAGCACUUAUAUUAAGCGGUGAGAUCGUUGGUGACUUUUGGAAGGUGGAUUUCACCAUCUCCACCGAUUGUUGAGAUUCUGAUGACAAGAUUCCUCCAAGUAUCAAACACUUACGAGCUUCCUCAUAGCCAGUUCUAGGGUUGUCUUUGGUGGUGUUUUCCAUAAUGUGAUUCAAAUCUGCUUCCUCCUUGUCCUGUAACACCACCUGUAUUUCUCCAUCUUCCAGGUUAUCACUUCGUUGAUCUUCCUGAUUGAUAGCUUGUUGUUUGCUAUCGUCUUUUCCUAUUUGAUCCUCUUUACUAUCUUCAAGCAAAGGUAUUUCUGGGUUUUCCACAUUAAUAUUAUCUUGUUGUUCUACCGUGUCAGGGAUGAUGACACUCUAGGCCUCUUCAAUCACUUUUUGUUUUUCAGAGCUCUCAGGUUGCUUAUUGCAUUGCCUUUUCUUUCUUUUCUUUCUCUUUGAUAACCUGAAGAGAGCAUUUCCUUGCUGUAUGUCUCGAUUUUUUGUAAUAAAAACAAGUGAAAGGGACACUUUCAUAUUCCAUUGGUUGGAUCCAUUUUCCCAAUCUGGAGUUAAUCUCAAUGGAUAGGGGAAUGUCUGUGCCUUGCAUAACUCCCACACAGAUCCUAGCAAAGGUAAGUCUUCUUCUAGCAACUGUGAUAGGAUCCAUAGAAAGGAGUUCACCAAAGGAACUAGCAAUUCCUUUAAAGACAUCUUCCACCCAAAACUUUAAGGGAAGGUUCGAGACUUUGACCCAAACUGGAGCUUGUACAGGAAAGGAUUCAUUUGGGUCCAUCUUAAGCGUCCAUUUUUACAAAGCGAGCUUUGAUUUACCGAUCAGCCAAGGGCCAUCACAAAGCACCCUUGACAUUUCUUCCUUACAUGAGAAAGCUAUAGAUAGCGCCCCUUUGGACAUAGCAGUGAUCUCCACUUGACCUUUAAGCUGCCAUUUGCGUUUAGCAAAUGCCCUAACAAUAUCAAUAUUUGGCCUCAACCCAAAAUUUUUCCAACCAGUUUCAUUGCCAUAAGGUUAAUAUUAUGCUCAAUAACAGGGUCUGGAAUUUCAAUAGCAAAUCGACCUUUUUCUGGGUCUGAGAUGUUACGAACUGGAGGGAGCAAGGACUUUCCACUCGGUUUAACACCAAAUAGAGAAGUCCAAGACCGACCGUUGUCCCUUCGAACAAGCCCUUGCCUUGGUAUGUCUCCAGCACGUUAUUUUCCAUUUUCUCCAUCAGGAUCGAUAGGCUUGUCGCCUACUUGUGGGUCCCCAUCCACUGGGUCCUUUCCAUUCGGCUCAGAGGAAUCCGGGUAGUCCUUGGAAUUGUCCUUUCCUUUCUCCUGUUGGUUCGCCUAUCCAUUGCAGGGUUUCCCUCCCUGCCCUGAAUUCAAAUCUCCCUUCUCUCGCUCCUGCCUGGUUCGCCUGCACAUAUGUAGUAUUGUUAUAUAUUAGAGCCCAUUCUUAGUUGAUAGUCAUUGAUAAACAAAUUUCAAACUAUUACUUGCACCUACAACAUAGAUCAUAAUAAAAGCACUGUAUUUAAUUUGGAUUGCUGAGAUGUUGAUUGUUAUUUGGAAUUUAUAAUAGGUAUAGUAAACACAAUCUGCCAAAGAAAUUGCUUCCAUGUAUAGAAAGUCUUAUGGGAAUGAAAGGAUUGUGCUUUGGCCCCUAUUCUUAUUAGCAGCCGCAGGAGAUUAUUUCUAGUCGUCUAAAUGAAAUUGAGGCAUUUGAAAAACAGGUUGUUGAAUUUGUUUUACGGAAGGUAUGCAUAUAGUAAUGAAUUUAUUAUUGAUACACUCUGCAUAAUAGGAUUAAGAGCUUUGCUAGGUUUUUGUAAGAGAUAAGUUGCUUAAACUAAUGCAAUUUUUUCUUGUUGUAUCAUCAAAACAUAUUUUAAAUAGUUUCUUUCCAAUUGAACUUUUGGAUAAACAUGUAUUGCACGUUGCAAUAGUUUUUGGAGAUGCUCGUUGAGCAUUGGAGCUAUAUAGAAGUACUACAGAGCUUGCCAAAUUUAGAGUCCAACAGUUGGAUGCUCCUUAAUUUGCUAUCCUGUUGCAGAUUAUCUCCCCCUUUGUGGAUGUUGGAGAUCCUCCUCUUGUGAGCUCGAGCUCUUGGUUUUUGGCUUCUUGACUGUUGGGUUGAUUGGGUCUCUGUUUUGGGCUGCAUCUACAUGGUUGAUGCUUUUUGUUCUCAACUGUUACUUGUAUCGGGGUUGGUAACGAUCUUCAUGUAUUCGGCUUCUAUAUGUAUUGGGGGACUUUUUGUAUCUUGACUUGUGGGGCCUCUCAUAUGUAAUGGGUUUGUUGACAUUUUGGGAAGCAUUAGGCUUUUCUUUUAUGGGCUACAACCAGAGGUUUUCUUUCGGAUUCUUUCUUGUCGGUAUGCCCUUUUGAAUAUGGUUGUAAAUAAAUUAAAAUUAAUAAAAGUUUAAUGGCUUUGCCGUUUUUUAUCGAAAAAAAAAGAUUAAAUUAAUGACUCAAUAUAUGACUAAAUAAAUGACCAGAUAACAACAAUCAAUGACUAAAUUAAUGACUAAAUUAAUGAUUAAAUAUAUGACUUAAUUAGUGACUAAAUAUAUGGCUAAAUUAGUGACUACCAUGGCUAAAUAAAUGACCAGAUAACAACAAUCAAUGAUUAAAUUAAUGAUUAAAUAUAUGACUAAAUUAGUGACUAAAUUAGCGACUAUCAUGACUAAAUCAAUGACUAGGUAACAACAAUAUAUGACUAAAUUAGUGAUCAAAUAUAUGACUAAACUAGUGACUAAAUAAAUUACCAAAUAGAUCAAUCAAAACAAUCAGUGGCCAUGCGACUAAACUGAUGUAUGACUGGCAGUAAACUACCAGUGGUCAUGUGAUCAAAUUUAGUCAUUUAUCUACAAUUUUUGGUAGUUUAUUUAGUCAUAUAAUUACAACAAAUCUAGUCAUUUUAAAAGAGUGUGAAAGGAGGUGAAGAAAAAGAAAAGUGAAAAGAAUUUCUUUAAUUUUGACUUGAAUGAAUCUUCUUAGGAUGAAGUAGAUGUUUUUGGUGUGACCUUGGCAACACAUGCAUUGGAAGAUGUGUGGUUAAUAAAUUUAGGUUUUUUUUUCCACAUGACCUCACACAUAGGUUGAAGUUUGAAGAGUUUGAUUGUGCGAAGGUGUAUUUGAGUGAUUAUUAUCAUCUGAAGGUUGUUUCUUGUGGAUGAGUCAAGAUUCAAUAUUUUUGAAAGUAAAGUGAAGGAGAUUGAUGCUAUACUACAUAUCUCUAGUUUGGCACAAAACCUAUUGUCAAUUAGCAAGAUGAUUGAUGUGGGUAUGCAUGUUGUUUUAUCUAGUGGUGUAUGCAAGAUAACAAGAGGCUUUUUGAUGCUUGAUAAGGGUGUUUGUAUAGGAACCUUCUAUAAGCUAGAUGCAUAUACAGUUCAAUGUACUAAUGCUUCUAUGAAGUCUAAGAAAAGGGCUUUGGAUUCCUCGUGAAAACCAUCAGAUCAAGAAGAGAACAAGAUUGUUGUUUCUACAUAUGAUGGGCAUGCUUUCUAGGUACCUAAGGGUGCAAAUGCUUUGGAGAUGAAUCUCCCAACUGAGAAGAAAAUGUUAUGGCACUAAAUAAUUGGUUGUAUUACUGAGAAGGGUCUUAGAGUUCUAAAAAUUAAGAACCUUGUUAGUUGAUAAUUGAAAUCUUGAGUUUGACAUUUGUGAACAUUGUGUUUAUGGCUAACAACACCAUGUUUCUUUCUACUCUAGUUCUUAUAAGUCUUUUGGGGUGUUUUGAUUAUAUUAAUUCAAAUAUGUUUAGUCCUACUAAAGUUUCAUCAAUAUCUAGAUCUAUGUACUUUGUCUCUUUCAUAUAUGAUUAUAGUACAAGGACAUUUUUGUAUUUCCUUGAAAGUAAAUACUGAACUUUUUAGUCGAUUUAAGAAAUUUAAAUCCUUGGUUGAAAACCAUACUAAGAGAAGAAUUAAGUGGUUAUGGACUAAAAAUGGUAGUGAGUUUUGUUCGUAAUAAUUUGAGAGGUUUGGUAAGGACCAUGGGGUUGAUAGACACAAAAAAACUCCGUACACCCUAUAGUAAAAUGGAGUUGUGUAGAGGAUGAAAAAAUGCUAAUGGAGAGGGCUAGGAGUAUGCUAAGUGGUUUAGGGUUUUAAUAGAAGUUAUAGGCUAAAUUUCUAGCCACUACUCGUUAUUUUAAUAAUAGAACCCCUACUUUCAGUGCUUGUUGAGAUGAAACCCAUGGAGGCUAGGUCUAGUAAGAAGCUCUUAUUGAGACAUCUUAGAGUCUUUAUUUGUGAGGUAUACGAACAUGGGUCAUGUGGGAAAAGAUAAAAAAUGGAGAACAAGGUGGUUUAAUGCAUCUUUAUGGCCUACAACCUUGAUGAGAAAGGCUACAAGAUUUGGGAUCUAGUUAUAUAGAAUAUUCUCUAAGGUAGAAGUGUGAUUAUUUGUGAGAUGAAACCUUCUACUAUUGAUUUGUAGCUAGAGAAUUAAGAGAAAUUGAAAAUGGGGGUAGUUUAGGUACCAUCUACUAUGAUAAGAAAUGAAUAAUGCACUCUUAUUGGACUUGAUAUUGAGGAGAUCUCAAGUAGCCCUGAAAAUUCUAAAAAAGAGAAACAACCUUAGUCUCGACAAUUGAGGAGGUAUACCUGUGAUAGGAAGUAGCUUGAUAGAUAUGGUCAUUCACUAGAAAGGUUUGGAUAUUUCUUUUAUUCUAGUUGCAUAUUUUCUUUGAUUGCUAAAACUAAUGAGCCUAGGAUUGUUAGACAGGCUCUGGAUAUGCAUGAUGCAGAUUCCUAGAUGUAAGUCAUAAAUGAAUCUAUGGUUGCAUUGAAGAACAAUGCUACAUGGGAUAUGAUACCUUUUUCUGAAGGACAGACACCAUUUGGAUUUGAGCGGGUGUUCAAGAAUAAAUUGGUUAUAGAUGGACAUGUUGAGAAGUAUAAAGCGUUCUUGGUCAUAAAGUGGUAUACUCAGGUAGAUGGAAUUUAUUAAGGUGAAAUAUUAUCUCUUGUGGGUUAGUGCAGAAUCAUGGGGCCCAAAAAGUGGCGAUGUGAAAAAAAUAACUUUUUCCACUCGCUUAAAAAUGCGAAAAUCUGUGUUGACUUUUUGCUUGGCCUGGGUGUCAGUACACCUUGGCAUGGUAAACACCUAAGCAAAUCGGAUUUUCGAUAAAAUCGGAUAUCCGAGAAUAUCAGAUAUCCAAGAAUAUUAGAUAUUCGAUUAAAUCGGAUAUCCAAGAAUAUCAGAUAUUCGAUUUUUAUAGGUAAUUUUAAAUUAAAAAAUAAAAUAAUUUAACUAUAAAAAUCAGAUAUCGGAUUUUAUCGGAUAUCCGAUUUCUCUGAGACAAUAAAAGUGGAUUGUGACAACCCGUGGGUUAUUUGUCACCCACGAGCUACGCGAAUUCUAUCAAAUCCUAUAUCCAGUUGGACCUGAUAUCCGAUUUUGUGACCCAAAUUUGCAAAAAAAUCCAAUAAAAGGUAGGAUUUUAAUUGUUUUUCAUCAUUUUCAUUCAAUUUUUUGCAUUUUUUUAAAAUGUUUUUUUUUUCAUUCAAAAUAUGUUUUUUUCAUUUAAACUAGGUUUUUUUAAAUCAAAUACAAAAUUGUUCAAAUUUGUUAACUAAUUUCAAUUGUUUACAUUCAAUUAGGUAAAAAAUGGGGGAUAACAGUGAAAACAUUGAUCAACCGCGACAACGAAACCCUCUUGCACAAAACCCUCCUUUGCCAUUCCCCCCUCAAUUCAGGAUUUAAUUGCACAAAAUUUGAACCAAUUGAGGGGGAUUACAAAUGUCUAUUGUAGGAUCUCUCGCUUGAACCCAAUGUUUGAUCCCCUCAUGUCCAUCAUAAAGAGUAUAGAAAUCGUCACUGAGGAGCACAAUGUUGCUCUUUUGUGGCAAGAUUCUAUGAGGGAACAAUAUGUGGAUGGCUUGUCCUAUAAGGAGAUCAAGGAUCUCGAGAUAUCCAAAGCUGCUAUCGCUGCAUUGUUUGUGAAUCCUCGCACUGGUCAACCCGUAGACCCCCCCCAAAAAAAGCUUUCUAUUAAAUGGUGCACAAAUGAUGAUGUUGUGAACAACUUUUGGGAUCGUUGGUGGAUGGUUUUCGAUAAACCACCCAACAACAAUCUUGAUGUCCCCUUCUACUUCGUUAAAAAUUUGUAUGUUGAGUUUAUUUUAAGAAAACAUGUGAACUACUUUAACGUCCAAACUUUCUAGGGUGUGGGUUUAGGUAUGCCCCAAAAUAGACCUGGGGCAAUCAGAGUAUUCCAGGGCCCAUAUGUCCCCCCUCCUCCUGUUGAUUCCCCACCUCCAAUGCAACAUCCAUAUAUCAUCUAUGAGGUGACAUCGCAAACCAUAUCGGCUAUUCACUCUUUGAGUAGCCUUUUGGUUUCUCAGGAUGGGAUAGUAGCUCAGCCUUUUUUUGAUGGUAGAGGUGCAUUUGGUGGCGCUGACAUGUCCUCCUCGACUCCACGCAUUUGUGUGCCCCAUAGUUGUGUCAUGUGUGGGCAACUAUGCUUGGGUCCAGUUGGACAACCUGUUGAUCCUCCUGCGCACACUAUAGAUUAUGAGGUGCAUGAGAUGCACGAUGCACCAGAUGUUAUGACAGGGACUGGAGGAUACCUUGGAGAGUCCUCGCAUGCUAGAGGCGAGGAGGCACCUUCAUCAUACAUUGAUGAUGUAGUAGUAAGAUUUGUAUUUUCACAGUUCAUUUUAUAUUUUAAAUGAAUAUUUAUAAUCUAGAUAAUAUUAAGUACUAAUUUUUAUUUACACGGUCUAUUUAAUAGUUGAUGAUAGAGGAGGAGUUGACACAGAUCCAGGAGGGCACCUUGAUGACCAUUUCAUUUGGCCUUGAUAGCUUUACGAUACAUAUAUUAUUUCACCUAGUCAUUUGUAUUUUAUUGUACAUACAUUCUCAUCAUUUAUAUUGGUAUUAAUUUGAUUAUGUAGUAACUUGCAUGUAUAUCUUAUUUUACUCUUGUGGGGCACAAGUAGCGUGAAUGUGGGGUUGUGUGAUUCGAGAUCUGGUAGUGCAGCUGGAGACAAGGGAAAGGAUCCUUCAGAGCCUAGCAGUGCGGUGAAGAGGAUCGAUUUUGAUGAUCCAUCAGUAGCUUAGGAUGUUAUAGAUAGUUUUGGGAUGCUUACAUGUCUAGUUGGCAUGUAUAUUUUGUAUGGACAUACAUUCACGUAUAUAGACAUACAUUUUGUUUGAGUUGUCGUUGAUG